AUUGAACGCUGGCGGCAGGCCUAACACAUGCAAGUCGAGCGGCAGCGGGAAAGUAGCUUGCUACUUUUGCCGGCGAGCGGCGGACGGGUGAGUAAUGCCUGGGGAUCUGCCCAGUCGAGGGGGAUAACCACUGGAAACGGUAGCUAAUACCGCAUACGCCCUACGGGGGAAAGCAGGGGACCUUCGGGCCUUGCGCGAUUGGAUGAACCCAGGUGGGAUUAGCUAGUUGGUGGGGUAAUGGCUCACCAAGGCGACGAUCCCUAGCUGGUGUGGAUGGAUGAUCAGCCACACUGGAACUGAGACACGGUCCAGACUCCUACGGGAGGCAGCAGUGGGGAAUAUUGCACAAUGGGGGAAACCCUGAUGCAGCCAUGCCGCGUGUGUGAAGAAGGCCUUCGGGUUGUAAAGCACUUUCAGCGAGGAGGAAAGGUUGGUAGCUAAUAACUGCCAGCUGUGACGUUACUCGCAGAAGAAGCACCGGCUAACUCCGUGCCAGCCGCCGCCGUAACAC
rnacentral:rRNA from 1 species